GCAGUGCGUGGCCGAAUGGUUACGCUGUCCGCUUUGUAAGCGGAUGAUCCUGGGUUAGAUUCCCAUCUGCUCCA
rnacentral:tRNA from 1 species